rnacentral:rRNA from 1 species
GGAUGCGAUCAUACCAGCACUAAAGCAUCGGAUCCCAUCAGAACUCCGAAGUUAAGCGUGCUUGGGAGAGAGUAGUACUAGGAUGGGUGACCUCCUGGGAAGUCCUCGUGUUGCAUUCC